UACGUAGGGGGCUAGCGUUGUCCGGAAUCAUUGGGCGUAAAGCGCGUGUAGGCGGCCCGGUAAGUCCGCUGUGAAAGUCGGGGGCUCAACCCUCGGAUGCCGGUGGAUACUGUCGGGCUUGAGUACGGAAGAGGCGAGUGGAAUUCCUGGUGUAGCGGUGAAAUGCGCAGAUAUCAGGAGGAACACCGAUGGCGAAGGCAGGUCUCUGGGCCACUACUGACGCUGAGGAGCGAAAGCGUGGGGAGCGAACAGG
rnacentral:rRNA from 1 species